UCUUGUGGGCACAAUCUAAUCCGCUGCCAGUGAAUAUGAAGCAGGCAGAAAAACGUGAAAAGGAGAGACUGGCCUAGGCUCCCAGCCUACAUCUUUCUCCCGUGCUGGAUCCUUCCUGCCCUCGAACAUCAGAUUCCAGGUUCUUCAGUUUUGGGACUUGGACUGGCUCUCCUUGCUCCUCAGCUUGCAGACAGCCUAUUGUGGGACCUUGUGAUCAUAUGGUGUCCAGAAUUUCAAAUAAUACUGAGUUACGGGAAUUGCCACAGCAUUUCCCUGAAGACAACACAAGGUGAACUUUUUUUAUAUGGGAUUCACAUCCAGUCCAUGGAAAACACUGGAAGCAUACACCUGUAUACAGCCAAUCUGUGAAGGUGAAGACUAUUUCCAAACAGCAGUGUCUUUCUGUUCUACUACUUAAAUGCCUGAUGCAGUCUUUCACCUUUAGAUUUUGCAGACAUGAGUCAGUUACCAGCACCUUUGUCCUCAAGAUAUCCCCCCAAAGCAACACGUAUUAAUCUCCUCUGAAACCCCAUUAUUUGGUUUAGUGAAGUAAGUAUACCCCAUUGGCAUGGAGUUGGAGAGUCAGAUAAAGACAAAAUUACUUAAUUCCCUGUAGGUUAUGGUAAAAAUAUGUGUGUGAGUGCAUACAUUUUCAUAUGUACAUGUUUGGGUCUUUUCUAAGUGCCAUUGGAAGCCUUGACCUGUGUUAAGGACUGAUAAAAUGAGGUUUGCAUUUUUUAAAAUACCAGUAUGUUUGCAGUUUGGUAAUAAGAGUAGUUGGGGUAGUAAAAGAGAAACCAGGAAGACCAAUUAAGAGACUACUGAAGUACUUCAAACUAGAGAUUACUGUGGCUUGGACUUGAAAGGUGACAAUAAAUAUAAAAAUAAGUAGAUAGAUUAUAAAAAUAUUUUGAUAGUUUCCAUUGAGGUGGCCCGCGUUAUAUUUUUUUCUGCUACUCCGACAUAUCUGUUGUUUUUUAUGUCACUAUAGAGGGGAGCUGGGUGGGGAGUGGUUAAUGUUUUUUCCGCUUUUUCCAUCUUAAAAGAGGCAAUAUAUUUGGGAGCUAGAGCAGGACGACUGAAUAUAGCCCUUCAGUGAUCAUUCCCCCUCAGGAUGACCAAAUAGAGCAACUAUUCAUGCAAGAAAGCACCUUCAUAGAAACCAAAAUAGGUGACAACUACAGUACUUGGUUUGACUAUAUUAUCAAGGAAAGAGGCAUUGAAGAGGGUAGAAAAGACCGUCUUGCAUUGCCUACAGCACCCCUCCCUGGACCCCAUGUAGUGUAGCAUGAAGACAGAAUCUGUGUGCUUAGGCGAGAAAGACCAAAGUGAGAGUGGACCUUUGGAACUCAAUGCUGUCCUGUCACAGUGGAACACAAUACAGGGAAGAAUUCUGCUGGCACCCAUGAAGGGAGCAUUUAGACCAGCCCUGGGCUAGAAAUUCCCAGCCCCAGCAGGAGGAAACAGUUCUGGCUGGCUUCACCACCAGCUGACUAAAGUGACCUGGGGCUUGGAAUAAAUUUGAGUUGCAGUCAGGUUAGAAGGACUGCAGUCCUAGGGCAAGCCCUGAUGCUACAACAGUCUUGGAGGCAGUGGACUUGGUGCAUGACCCAGUGUGACACCAGCUGUGGCAGGCAAAGGAGUGUCUGCACCGCCCCCUCCACCAACUCCAGGCAGUACAGCUCUGAGAGAGACUCCUUCCACUUGGGGAAAGGAGAAGGAAGAAUACAGAUAACUUUGUCUUGCAACCUGGGUACCAUAGUAAUAGUAAUAAAAAGCAGCAGGCAUAUUCCUGAAGUUCCAGAGUCCAGAUCUUUGCUCCUGGACAGCAUUUUCAGACCCACUGUGGCCAGAAAGGAAUCCAUUGCCUUGAUGAGAUGCACCCAGUUUCAGAAGAAUUUACCAUCCACUGACUAAAGUGGUCUUGGACUUUGAAUAAACAUCAGCAGCAGCCAGGCAGCAGUGGCCACAGGCCAGUAUUGUGCUGGUCUGCAAAGCUUCAGGUGCAACAAUGUGGAGUGCCGGCUGUGUUGGCCACAGGAGUGUCCAUACCAGCGUUUCACCAACUCCACUGCUAAAUUAUACCAAACAUUUAAAGAUGAACUAAUACCAAUCCAGUUUAAACUAUUCCAAAAAAUUGAGGCAAAGGAAAUGCUUCCAAUCUUAUUCUACAAGACCAGUAUUACCCAGAUAACAAAACCAGAUGAAGACACAACAACAACAAAACUACAGGCCAACAUCUCUGAUGAACACAGAUGUAAAAAUCCUCAACAACAUACUAGUAAAUAGAACUCAACAACACAUUUAAAAGAUCAUUCAUCUUGAUCAAGUGAGAUUUACCCCAGAGGUGCAAGCAUGGUUUAAAAUACAUAAAUUAAUAAAUGUGAUUCAUCAUAUCAACAGAAUGAAGGACAAACCUAUAUGAUCAUUUCAUUAGAUGUAGAAAAAGUAUUCAAUAAAACUUAACAUGCCUUCAUGAUAAAAACUCUCAAAAAACUGGGUAUAGAAGGAACAUACCUGAACAUCAUAAAAACCAUAUAAGAAAAAUCCACUGCAUAGGAAAAAAAACUGAAAGCAUUUUCUGUAAGAUCUGGAACAAGACCAGUAUGCCCACUUUCAUCACUUUUAUUCAACAUAGUACUAGAAGUCCUAGCUAGAGAAAUUAGAAAAGAGAAAGAAAUAAAGGACAUCCAAAUUAGAAAUGAAGUCAAAUUAGCCUUGUUGGCAGAUGAUCUGAUUUCAUAUUUAGAAAAACCUAAAGACUCCACUACACAACUGUUAGAACUGAUAAACAAAUUCAGUAGAGUUUCAGGAUACUCCACACAAAAAAACAGUAGCAUUUCUAUAUGCCAUAAACAAACAAUCUGAAAAAGAAACCAAGAAAGUAAUCCUAUUCACAAUAGGUGCAAAUGAAAUUAAAUACUUAGGAAUUAACCAAAGAAGUGAAAUAUCUCUACAAUGGAAACUGUAAAACAUUGAUGAAAGAAAUUAAAGACGUAACAACAAAAUGGAAAGAUAUUCCAUGUUCAUGGGUUAGAAGAAUCAAUGUUGUUAACAUGUUUAUACAGCCCAAAACAAUCUACAGAUUCAAUGCAAUCUCUAUCAAAAUAAUGUUCUUCACAAAAAUAGAAAAAGCAAUCCUAUAAUUUAUGUGGAGCCACAAAAGACCCAAAAUAGCCAAAGCUAUCCUAAGCAAGAAGAACUAAACUGGAGGAAUCACAUUACCUGGCUUCAAAUUAUAUUAUAAAGCUACAGUAACCGAAACAACAUGGUACUGGCAUAAAAACAGACACAGGGACCAAGGAAAUAGAACACAGAACUCAAAAAUAGAUUGAUGCAUUUAUAUUCAGCUCAUUUUUCACAAAAGUGCCAAAAACAUACACUGAGGAAAGAACAGUAUCUUCAAUAAAUGGUGCUGAAAAAACUAGAUAUCCAUAUGCAGAAGGAUGAAACUAAAUCCCAUCUCUCAUCAUAUACAAAAAUCAAAUAAAAAAUAAAGGCUUAAAUGUAAGACCCCAAAUUAUAAAACUAUUAGAAGAAAAUAUUCAACAAACACUCCUGCACAUUGGCCUGGGCAAAGAUUUCUUGAGUGAGACGUUAAAAGCACAGGCAAUCAAAGCACAAACGGAUAAAUGAUAUCACACCAACAUAAAAAGCUACUUCACAGCAAAGGAAACAAUUAACAAAGUGAAAAGAGAAUCUACAGAAUGGGAGAAAAUAUUUGCUAACUACUAAUCUGAGACGGGAUUAAUAACUAGAAUAUAUAAGGAGCUCAAACAGCACAAUAAGAAUAAAACCAAAUAAUCCAACUUAAAAAUUUGCAAAAAAUAUGAAUAAACAUUUCUCAAAAGAAGACAUGCAAAUGCCCAACAGGUAUAUAAAAAACUUCAACAUCACUAAUCCCCAGAGAAAUGCAAAUUAAAACUACAAUGAGCUAUAAUCUCAUUCCAGUUAAAUAGCUUUUCAGGCGAGGCACUGUGGCUCACACCUGUAGUCCUAGCUACUCAGGAGGCUGAGGUGAGAGGAUCGCUUGAAUCCAUGAGUUUGAAUUCAGUCGAGGCAACACAGGAAGACCCUGUCUCUAAAGAAAUAAAAGGCUUUUAUCCAAAAAACAGGCAACAACAAAUGCUGUGGAGAAUGUGGAGAAAGGGGAACCCCUUAUAUACUGUCGGUGGAAAUGUAAAUUAGUACAGCCACUAUGGAAAACAGUAUGGAGAUUCCUCAAAAUUUUUUUAAAAAGUAAAAAUAGAGCUACUAUAUGAUCCAGCAAUCCCACUGAGAAAGGAAAUUAGUAUAUCAAGGUAAUAACUGCAUUUCCAUGUUUAUUGCAGCACUAUUCACAAUAGCCGAGAUAUAGAAUCAAACAUCAACGGAUGAAUGGUUAAAGUAAAUGUGGUACGAAUACACAAUGGAGUACUAUUCAGCCAUAAAAAAGAAUGAAAUCCUGUCAUUUUUAAUAACAUGGAUGGAACUGGAGGUCAUUACGUUAAGUGAAAUAAGCCAGGCACAGAAAGACAAACUUCGCACUUUCUCCAUAAUAUGUGGGAGUUAAAAAAAAAAAAAUGAACUCAUGGACUUAUGCUGUAGAAUGUUGGUUACCAGAAGCUGGGAAGGGUAGUGGGGAGAGGGAGAUAAAGAGGAGAUGGUUAAUGGACACAAAAAUACAGAUAGAAGAAACAAGAUCCAGUGUUCAGUGGUAUAAUAGGGCAAGUACAGUUAACAAUAAUUUACUGUAAUUUUCAAAAUAACUAAAAGAAUGGAAUUGGAAUGUUCCUAAUACAAAGAAAUGAUAAAUGCUUGAGGUAGUAGAU